GCCAGGUGUUGUGGCACACACCUGUAGUCCCUGCUAUUCAGGAGGCUGAGGCAGGAGGAUCACUGGAGCCUGGGAGUUUGAGGCUGCAGUGAGCUAUGAUUGCACCAUUGCACUCCAGCCCAGGCAACACAGCAAGACCCUGUCUCUU
ensembl:misc_RNA Metazoa_SRP Metazoan signal recognition particle RNA